rnacentral:rRNA from 1 species
GACGAACGCUUGCGGCGUGCUUAACACAUGCAAGUCGAACGAAGUGGCGAACGGGUGAGUAACGCGUAAUCAACCUGCCCUUCAGAGGGGGACAACAGUUGGAAACGACUGCUAAUACCGCAUACUGAAGGAGGGGAUUGCGUCUGAUUAGCUAUUUGGAGGGGUAACGGCCCACCAAGGCGAUGAUCAGUAGCCGGGCUUGAGGGGAGAACGGCCAAAUUGGGACUUAGACACGGGCCAGACUCCUACGGGAGGCAGCCGGGGGGAAUCUUCCGCAAUGGGCGACAGUCUGACGGAGCAACGGCGCGGGAGUGAUGACGGGCUUCGGGUUGUAAAGCUCUGUUAAUCGGGACGCGUUACCGGAAUAGAAAGCCACGGCUAACUACGUGCCAGCAGCCGCGGUAAUAC